rnacentral:pre_miRNA from 1 species
AGCCCUCUGUAUCCGUGCUGAGAUUUCGUCAAAGAUCAACCCGUUGGCACUGGAUGAUGAUACUUCCCAAAUAAGUGAAGCG